rnacentral:rRNA from 1 species
UUGACAUGCUUCUGACCCCUCUAGAGAGAGAGUUUUCCCCUUCGGGGGACAGAGUGACAGGUGGUGCAUGGUUGUCGUCAGCUCGUGUCGUGAGAUGUUGGGUUAAGUCCCGCAACGAGCGCAACCCUUAAGCUUAGUUGCCAUCAUUAAGUUGGGCACUCUAAGUUGACUGCCGGUGACAAACCGGAGGAAGGUGGGGAUGACGUCAAAUCAUCAUGCCCCUUAUGAUUUGGGCUACACACGUGCUACAAUGGACAAUACAAAGGGCAGCGAAACCGCGAGGUCAAGCAAAUCCCAUAAAGUUGUUCUCAGUUCGGAUUGUAGUCUGCAACUCGACUAUAUGAAGCUGGAAUCGCUAGUAAUCGUAGAUCAGCAUGCUACGGUGAAUACGUUCCCGGGUCUUGUACACACCGCCCGUCACACCACGAGAGUUUGUAACACCCGAAGCCGGUGGAGUAACCAUUGGAGCA